AGCAGACACACUUGGCCCAUCUGUACCUGAACAAUCUGCGCGGCUACUACAACCAAAGCGAGGCCGUCUCUCACACAAUCCAGAAGAUGUAUGGCUGAGAGGUCGGGGCAGAUGGGCGCCUCCUCCUCGGGUACUGGCAGUGGGCCUAUGAUGGCGCUGACUACAUCGCCCUGAAUGAGGACCUGCUCACCUGGACUGCAGUGGACUUGGCAGCUCAGAUCACACAGCGCAAGUGGGAAGUGACAGCUGAAGCUGAAAGAUACAGAGCCUACCUAGAGGAGGAGUGCUUGAAGUCGCUGCACAGAUUCCUGGAAUUGGGGCAGGAGACAUUACAGCACUCAGACCCACCCAAAGCACAUGUGACUCACCACCCAGUCUCUGACCAGAAGGCCACCCUGAGGUGCUGGGCCCUGGGCUUCUACCCCAAGGACAUCACACUCACCUGGCACCGAGAUGGAGAGGA